GGAGCUGGAAACAUCCUCCAAAACAGAGAUUUUAUGUGCUGUAGCUCUCUUAGGCUAGAGGCUGAUCUGUGUCCUCCUGAAUUUAUCCAAUUCCUUCUUUGACCUACUGAUAUUUUUGGCCAGCACAACUUCCUGUGAUAAUGAAUUCUAUGUAUUUACCACCCAGAUACAUCCAGGAUCAGAUAAAGUAUCUGAGUUUUCCAAGGACAAUUACCCCGUUCUCCCACGAUGAAGUUUUUCACUCUGUUUCUGUUAGAACACCGUCAAGAACCAUUCUUGAACAACCUGCAUCUACCUGAACUAAAUGGAAUGUCAUGUUGAAAGAAAUGGUUUGCUUGUGUAUAGGGUGCUGGUCAAGGAUGUGUAUUAUAGAGCGAGUUUUCCUUAAUUUGGGGUUCAUUAGGAACUUAACUCCUGUAUCUAGAAGAACUGAAUAUAUUGACCUUCUUGAUUUGGUUUUCUUCUACUUGUCUAAAGCAAAAUGUUCCUUCAAGGGCUCUUACAAUUGCUUGGCCCCUUUUCUGGAUGGUUGCCUGUCCAUUUAGAAGCUGGUGUAAAUGAGAAUAUUUUAUAGAACUUUUGGAACAUGGUACUGACAGACAAUGGCAUGAGAGAAAUAAACAAAUAAAUUACUGUA